GCGCAUCUGGUGUAGUGGUAUCAUAGUACCCUCCCACGGUACUGACCAGGGUACGAUUCCCUGGAUGCGCA
rnacentral:tRNA from 1 species